GACGAACGCUGGCGGCGUGCCUAACACAUGCAAGUCGAACGGAAAGGCCCUGCUCUUGUGGGGUGCUCGAGUGGCGAACGGGUGAGUAACACGUGUGUAACCUGCCCUUGACUUUGGGAUAACUUCACGAAACUGGGGAUAUUACCGGAUAGGAGCUCUUGCUGCACGGUGGGGGUUGGAAAGAUUCGGCGGUUGUGGAUGGACUCGAUGCUUAUCAGCUUGUUUGUGGGGUAGUGGCUUACAAAGGCUUCGACGGGUAGCCGGCCUGGGAGGGUGAACGGCCACAAUGGGACUAAGGUACGGCGCAGAAUCCAACGGGAGGCAGCAGUGGGGAGUAUUGCACAGUGGGGGGGAGCCUGAUGCAGCAGCGCCGCGUGCGGGAUGACGGCCUUCGAGUUGUAAACCGCUUUCGCCUGUGACGAAGCGUGAGUGACGGUAAUGGGUAAAGAAGCACCGGCUAACUACGUG
rnacentral:rRNA from 1 species